AUUGAACGCUGGCGGCAGGCCUAACACAUGCAAGUCGAGCGGAGCGGCGGACGGGGGAGUAAUGCCUAGGAAUCUGCCUGGUAGUGGGGGAUAACGUCCUGAAACGGGCGCUAAUACUGCAUACUAUCAGAUGAGCCUAGGACGGUUUAGCUAGUUGGUGGGGUAAAGGCUGAACAAGGCGACGAUCCGUAACUGGUCUGAGAGGAUGAUCAGUCACACUGGAACUGAGACACGGUCCAGCAUCCUACGGGAGGCAGCAGUGGGGAAUAUUGGACAAUGGGCGAAAGCCUGAUCCAGCCAUGCCGCGUGUGUGAAGAAGGUCUUCGGAUUGUAAAGCACUUUAAGUUGGGAGGCGUUACCAACAGAAGAAGCACCGGCUAACUCCGUGCCAGCAGCCGCGGUAAUUC
rnacentral:rRNA from 1 species